CAUUGGCCUUUGUGUCUUAUAAUUACUUUCAAGAGAGAAAAGCCAAGAAAGCAAGGUUCGUAAUUUUCAAGUCAGGACCAUAUGAUGCAAUUGAAAAGGGAAAAACCGAAGACAUCAACUUGUAUGAAAAAUACACGUAUCAAAACAGAGAGAAUGGAAAUCCUGAUACAGAAUGGCCGUCAGAAUUAUCAAUCAAUAAUUUGUACUCUUCAGAACCUCAACAAAAAGAUCAAGUCGUAGAAAGGAUUUAUGAAAACACAAGUCUAGUUAAGUCCUCGAAAGACAAAUUAAAACCAGAGAUAAAACCAAAGCCCAAGAAGUUACCGAAACCGAUUACUUAAUAUUUCUUUGUAAUAUAUUUCAAAAAAUAAUUGCAUCUUUUUUUUAU